GUGCCAGCCGCUGGGGUAAUACGGAGGGUGCAAGCGUUAUCCGGAUUUACUGGGUUUAAAGGGUGCGUAGGCGGACUUGUAAGUCUGAGGUGAAAUCUCCGAGCUUAACUCGGAAACUGCCUUGGAUACUAUAGGUCUUGAAUGUCGUUGAGGUCAGCGGAAUAUGUCAUGUAGCGGUGAAAUGCUUAGAUAUGACAUAGAACACCUAUUGCGAAGGCAGCUGGCUAAGCGAAAAUUGACGCUGAGGCACGAAAGCGUGGGAUCAAACAGGAUUAGAUACCCUGGUAGUCCACGCCCUAAACGAUGAUUACUCGACGUGCGCGAUACACAGUGCGCGUCUGAGCGAAAGCAUUAAGUAAUCCACCUGGGAAGUACGUUCGACAAGAAUGAAACUCGAAAGGAUU
rnacentral:rRNA from 1 species